AAAGGUGAAAUUGGUUUAUUAAAUAUUAGUUAAUUAUAUAUGUUGAGGCUAUAAAAUUUGUGGGAUAAACUAGGAUUAGAUACCCUAUUAUACAUAGAUUAAAAUAAAAUUAUAUCAGAUUAUUUUUAGUUAUGUUCUUAAAAAUCAAAGAACUUGGCGGUACUUUAGUCUUGUUAGAGGAACCUGUUUUAUAAGUGAUAAACCACGUAAUAUCUUGCUUAAGUAUGUAUACCGUCAUUAUUAGAUAAUUUUUAUAGAAUUUUAAUUGUUGAAAUAAUUAAAAAAUAAAAUUAAUAUAUUAGAUCAAGGUGCAGCUAAUAAUUAAGUAAAAAUGGGUUACAAUAAGUUUAAUUUAUAUGGAUUAAUUAUUAUGAAGGUGGAUUUAAUUGUAUUUUAAUUUAAUAAGGAAAAAUGAUAAUAGCUCUAGAUUAUGUACAUAUCGCCCGUCGCUUUC
rnacentral:rRNA from 1 species